ACCUGGUUAGCUCUGUUGGUAGAGUGCUCCACUGGAAAUUGAGAGGUCCCUGGUUCGAUGCCGGGACUAAAUA
rnacentral:tRNA from 2 species